rnacentral:rRNA from 1 species
AUGUCGCGCGGCGGCGGGUGGUGCCCGCCGAUGGAUCUACUGCGGUCGGAGGCGAUGCAGCUGGUGCAGGUCAUCAUCCCCGCCGAGUCGGCGCGCCUCGCCGUCUCCAACCUCGGCGACCUCGGCCUCCUCCAGUUCAAGGACCUUAAUGCGGACAAGAGCCCAUUCCAACGGGCAUAUGCUGCCCAGAUCAAGACGUGUGGUGAAAUGGCUCGCAAGUUGCGUUUUUUCAAGGAACAAAUGUCGAAAGCUGCCAUAUUGACUUCUCCCACGCAAUUUUCAGGAGCUCCUUUGGAAAUUGGUGAUCUGGAGAUAAAACUUGGGGAAUUUGAAGCUGAGCUAACUGAAGUAAAUACAAAUAAUAGAAAAUUGCAGAGGACAUACAAUGAGCUGGUGGAGUACAAUGUUCUUCUAGAAAAGACCGGUGAGUUUUUCUACUCAGCUCAAAGAAGUGCGGCAGAGCAACAGAGGGAAAUGGUGGCUGAUCAGUCUGGUGAUUCUUCUCUGGAGAGUCCUUUAUUGCAUCAGGAAAUGGUGAUAGAUCCAUCGAAACAUGUGAAGCUUGGUUCCCUGAUUGGUCUUGUGCCAAAGCAAAAGGCUAUGGCCUUUGAGCGUAUACUUUAUCGUGCCACCAGGGGCAAUAUGUUACUCCGACAAGAAUCUGUUGAUGAACCUAUAACUGAUCCACAAUCUGGAGAGAAGGCCGUGAAAAAUUCUUUCGUUAUAUUCUACUCUGGGGAGAGAGCGAAAUCCAAGAUUCUAAAAAUCUGUGAUGCUUUUGGUGCCAACCGUUAUCCGUUUCCAGAAGACCUUGCCACACAAUUACAUACUAUUCAGGAGGUAUCUGGAAAAGUGUCAGAGUUGAAGGCAACUGUUGAAAUAGGUUUAGCUCAUCGUGAUGGCAUACUUAAAAGUAUAGCUUGUGAGUAUGAACAAUGGAACAACCUGUUAAAGAAGGAAAAGGCUAUUUACCACACGCUAAACAUGUUCAGUCUUGAUGUAACAAAGAAAUGUUUAGUUGCUGAGGGGUGGAGUCCAGUUUUUGCUACAAGUCAGGUACAAGAUGCACUUCAUCGUGCUACUACUGGUAGCAACUCCGAAGUUGGUUGUAUUUUCCAAAUUCUAAACACACGAGAAUCUCCGCCAACGUAUUUCCAGACAAAUAAAUUUACAUCCUCCUUCCAGGACAUUGUAGAUGCCUAUGGUAUUGCGAGCUAUCAAGAAGUAAAUCCUGGUUUAUUUACUAUCGUAACAUUCCCCUUCUUAUUUGCCGUCAUGUUUGGUGAUUGGGGUCAUGGAAUUUGUAUAUUUCUUACUGCAAUGUACCUCAUAAUCCGAGAGAAGAAGCUAGCUUCACAGAAACUAGAUGACAUAGUGGAAAUAAUGUUUGCUGGGCGCUAUGUAAUUUUGAUGAUGUCCCUUUUUUCAAUUUACACUGGAUUGAUAUAUAAUGAGUUCUUCUCGGUUCCAUUUGAGCUCUUCGGUAAAUCUGCCUAUGCCUGCCAUGAUCCUUCGUGUGGGGAUGCUACAACUGAAGGAUUAGUUAGGGUGGGGCAAACGUACCCAUUUGGUGUCGAUCCAGUGUGGCAUGGAAGCCGCAGUGAGCUGCCAUUUCUCAAUUCCCUAAAGAUGAAAAUGUCAAUUCUUCUUGGAAUUGCACAAAUGAACCUUGGAAUCGUGUUGAGUUUCUUUAAUGCGAAGUAUUUCAAAAAUACUGUUAAUGUUUGGUAUCAGUUUGUUCCUCAGCUGAUCUUCUUAAACAGCUUAUUUGGUUACCUGUCACUCCUCAUCAUUAUUAAGUGGUGCACUGGCUCAAAAGCUGACCUAUACCACAUAAUGAUAUAUAUGUUCCUGAGUCCAACGGAUGAUAUUGGGGAGAACCAGCUAUUUCCUGGGCAGAGAAUUGUGCAGCUUGUUCUACUUCUACUUGCUCUGGUGUCUGUGCCUUGGAUGCUGUUUCCGAAGCCAUUGUUUCUCAAGAAGCAACAUGAGCAGAGACACCAAGGCCAGCAUUACACCAUGCUCCAGGAGACAGAUGAAUCAGUGGCUCAAUUGGGAGGACAACAUGAAAACCCACACAGCCAUGAGGAGUUUGAAUUCAGUGAAGUUUUGGUCCACCAGCUGAUCCACACAAUUGAGUUUGUGCUCGGUGCGGUCUCCAAUACUGCCUCAUAUCUUCGUCUUUGGGCUCUCAGUCUCGCGCACUCGGAACUGUCCAGUGUCUUUUAUGAUAAGGUUCUUCUUCUAGCAUGGGGAUACAACAAUGUUAUCAUCCUUGUCAUGGGAGUAACCGUCUUCCUCUUUGCCACUAUUUUUGUUCUGCUUUCAAUGGAGACCCUAAGUGCGUUUCUGCAUGCCCUGAGGCUUCACUGGGUCGAGUUCCAGGGCAAGUUUUACGAUGGUGGUGGGUACAAGUUUGCGCCAUUCGCGUUUGCAUCAAUCAUCGAGGAGGAAGAUUAG